GAUGAAGAACGUAGCGAAAUGCGAUACUUGGUGUGAAUUGCAGAAUCCCGUGAACCAUCGAGUCUUUGAACGCAAGUUGCGCCCGAAGCCACUAGGCCGAGGGCACGCCUGCCUGGGCGUCACACGCCGUUGCCCCCCCAUCUACUCCUUCGGGAUUGCGGGGGGGCGGAUGAUGGCCUCCUGUGCGCCUAGCCGCGCGGUUGGCAUAAAUACCAAGUCCUCGGCGACGCACGCCACGACAAUCGGUGGUUGCGAAACCUCGGUUGCCCGUCGUGUGCGUUCGUCGCGCAUCGAGGGCUCGAAAAAAUGCUCGGCUCCGGCUGGGCUUUCAACGCGACCCCAGGUCAGGCGGGGUUACCCGCUGAAUUUAAGCAUAUCAUAAGCGGAGA
rnacentral:misc_RNA from 1 species